rnacentral:rRNA from 1 species
UACGAAGGGUGCAAGCGUUACUCGGAAUCACUGGGCGUAAAGCGCACGUAGGCGGAUUGCUAAGUCAGGGGUGAAAUCCUGGAGCUCAACUCCAGAACUGCCUUUGAUACUGGCGACCUUGAGUCCGGGAGAGGUGAGUGGAACUGCGAGUGUAGAGGUGAAAUUCGUAGAUAUUCGCAAGAACACCAGUGGCGAAGGCGGCUCACUGGCCCGGUACUGACGCUGAGGUGCGAAAGCGUGGGGAGCAAACAGG